rnacentral:rRNA from 1 species
ACUCCUACGGGAGGCAGCAGUGGGGAAUAUUGCACAAUGGGCGAAAGCCUGAUGCAGCAACGCCGCGUGAGGGAUGACGGCCUUCGGGUUGUAAACCUCUUUUAGUUGGGAAGAAGGGAGUGACGGUACCAGCAGAAAAAGCACCGGCUAACUACGUGCCAGCAGCCGCGGUAAUACGUAGGGUGCAAGCGUUGUCCGGAAUUAUUGGGCGUAAAGAGCUCGUAGGCGGUUUGUCGCGUCUGCUGUGAAAUCUGGGGGCUCAACCCCCAGCCUGCAGUGGGUACGGGCAGACUAGAGUGCGGUAGGGGAGAUUGGAAUUCCUGGUGUAGCGGUGGAAUGCGCAGAUAUCAGGAGGAACACCGAUGGCGAAGGCAGAUCUCUGGGCCGUAACUGACGCUGAGGAGCGAAAGCAUGGGGAGCGAACAGGAUUAGAUACCCUGGUAGUCCAUGCCGUAAACGUUGGGAACUAGAUGUAGGGGCCAUUCCACGGUUUCUGUGUCGCAGCUAACGCAUUAAGUUCCCCGCCUGGGGAGUACGGCCGCAAGGCUAAAACUCAAAGGAAUUGACGGGGGCCCGCACAAGCGGCGGAGCAUGCGGAUUAAUUCGAUGCAACGCGAAGAACCUUACCAAGGCUUGACAUAUACCGGAAACGUCCAGAGAUGGUCGCCCCGCAAGGUCGGUAUACAGGUGGUGCAUGGUUGUCGUCAGCUCGUGUCGUGAGAUGUUGGGUUAAGUCCCGCAACGAGCGCAACCCUCGUUCUAUGUUGCCAGCACGUUAUGGUGGGAACUCAUAGGAGACUGCCGGGGUCAACUCGGA